UGAACAACUCUUGAAAGUUUGUAAUUAUGUUUAGAACAUAAUGGUUGGUUGACAAAAAUAGUGCAUCAACAUGGACUUAUGAUGAUGAUUUUGAAUCAUUGAGUGUUGAAGUGUUAGAACACUUCUAGAGACGGGAACUAGGCAAGGACUUCACCUUUGUGUCCCUAUCCUUAUGGUUCACUAAGUUUAUUGUAAACUAUGUAGUGAACAAUAAACACAUACUCUCCAAAAUGUUUGAUGUGUAUAACACAAUUGAAAUAAGUUUCAAGAGAGAUAGUGGGAGUUUAGGGACCUUGACUAUGGUAGUCAAAGGAGAAGUCAAAUGAAGAAAGCGA
rnacentral:lncRNA from 1 species